CCUACGGGUGGCUGCAGUAAGGAAUAUUGGUCAAUGGACGCAAGUCUGAACCAGCCAUGCCGCGUGGAGGAUGAAGGUCCUCUGGAUUGUAAACUUCUUUUAUUUGGGAAGAAACUCCCGAUUUCCAUCGGGAUUGACGGUACCAGAUGAAUAAGCACCGGCUAACUCCGUGCCAGCAGCCGCGGUAAUACGGAGGGUGCAAGAGUUAUUCGGUUUAACGGGUGUGAAAGUGUGCGUAUAAGGCAGGGUUGAAAUCUCCGGGCUUAACCCGGGAACUGCCAUUGAUACUAUUUGUCUUGAAUACUCUGGAGGUGAGCGGAAUAUGUCAUGUAGCGGUGAAAUGCUUAGAUAUGACAUAGAACACCCAUUGCGAAGGCAGCUCACUACGGAAAUAUUGACGCUGAGGCACGAAAGCGUGGGGAUCAAACAGGAUUAGAUACCCCAGUAGUC
rnacentral:rRNA from 1 species